UACGUAGGGGGCAAGCGUUGUCCGGAUUUAUUGGGCGUAAAGAGCGUGUAGGCGGCCAUGUAGGUCCGUUGUGAAAACUCGAGGCUCAACCUCGAGACGCCGAUGGAAACAAUGUGGCUAGAGUCCGGAAGAGGAGAGUGGAAUUCCUGGUGUAGCGGUGAAAUGCGCAGAUAUCAGGAAGAACACCAGUGGCUAAGGCGGCUCUCUAGUAAGGUACUGACGCUGAGACGCGAAAGCGUGGGGAGCGAACAGG
rnacentral:rRNA from 1 species